AUUGAACGCUGGCGGCAGGCCUAACACAUGCAAGUCGAGCGGCUCGGCGGACGCGUGAGUAAUGCCUAGGUAUCUGCCUGGUCGUGGGGGAUAACGUCCGGUAAUGGGCGCUGAUACCGCAUACUCUCAGAUGAGCCUAGGUCCGAUUAGCUAGUUGGUGGGGUAAAGGCCUACCAAGGCGACGAUCCGUAGCUGGUCUGAGAGGAUGAUCAGUCACACUGGAACUGAGACACGGUCCAGACUCCUACGGGAGGCAGCAGUGGGGAAUAUUGCACAAUGGGCGCAAGCCUGAUGCAGCCAUGCCGCGUGUAUGAAGAAGGCCUUAGGGUUGUAAAGUACUUUCAGCGGGGAGGCGUUACCCGCAGAAGAAGCACCGGCUAACUCCGUGCCAGCAGCCGCGGUAAUUC
rnacentral:rRNA from 1 species